AGCUGGUUCUUUUCUGGAGGCUAUUGGUGCUUACUGGAGGAUGCCAGGCAGGGUCUUAGCCCUUAGGCCCUUGGGCCCUUAGGCUGAUGGCUGAGCUGGCAGCGCUCAGGUUGCCGUGCGGUGGUGUUUGGAAACACAAGGGCCAACAUUUGAGGGAAUUCAGGAAAAUCUUAAGCAGUUACACAUGCUUAACCUUGUAUUACCAGAUGCAGUUGCAAAUAAGGGGCUAGACCGUGAAACCAACCUUACUUUUAUAUUUCGAUUUGUUAGUCAUUUUAUCAGUCUCCAAAAUUAAUAUAAUUAGAAGGAAUUCUAUUUUUAAUUACUUUUAUGUACUAUGCUCAACAUUGAUCCUUGCUUUUGGUGAUUUUUAUAAAGUGAAAACGGAGAAGCUCAAGAGAAUUCCUUCACAUUAAAGGACAAUGUGAUUCAAAGAAAACUUGGGUGUGAAUUUCAGCUAUGCUGUUGAUUACUUGGACAAUCAGUUCACUUGCUCAGGAAAAAAAAAAAAAAUGAGGCCAUAUGUAAGAAGAAUCCAGUAUAUCCUCUAGUUAGGAAGUUCAACUGGUUAUAAUUAAAAGUGCACCCAACUAACAGCAGAGACUUACUCAGAACGCAUCAUGGUUGAAGUUCUGUAUCUGCCAGUGUGAUAUCUUGGAACUUAAGUCUAAGAGGAGUAGUUGGACUCAUGCAGAGAGAACUGAAUGUUGAAAAUCUUCCAAAAUCGACUGUAGUGACGUUUGCACAACUCCUUGGAUAUACGAAAAAUCACUGAAUUGUAUUUUUAUGCCAAGUGAAUUAUUUCUCAAUAAAGCUGUUAUUUUUUUUUU